UAGAUAAGAGCUUGAAUAAGCAGUUGAUUGUUAAUCAAAAGAGUGGGAAGCUUAAGUCCCUUAUCUAA